rnacentral:tRNA from 3 species
AGCCUUGAGGUGUCAUCAUGUUAGAUUGCAAAUCUAAAGAAGCAAGUUAAUAACUUGCCGGGGCUU